GGAAGGAGGCUUUCCCUUCCCCACCUCCCUCCCCUCCAUCUCUUCCCUCUUUCCCUCUCUCCCCUUCACUCCCCUCCCCCAGCUCUUCUCUUCCCCCUUUCUGUUCUCUUUUUUUUUCUGCGUUAAACCUUUCGGGAGUGUCUUUGUAAACUAUUAAAAAGAGUUAGGUCUUCAACAUGUAUGUUUACUUGCAGGCCUGAGAACUGGAGGAAACUGGAGAAAAGAUGCCCUCUGACUCUUUCUGUUUGGCUGCCCAGGCUCGCCUUGACUCCAAAUGGUUGAAAACAGAUAUACAGUUCCCGGCCUGCGGGCAAAGGCGUGGAGGGGCUCGCCAGAGUGGGAUCCCGAGCGAUGCUGUCUUUCGCCUUCGCCUUCCUGCGCAGGGCCUGGCGAUCAGGAUAUUGAAGCCAAAAAAGAAGCACAGAAGGAAAAAGAAAUUGAUGAACAGGAAGCGAAUGCCUCAACGUUUCACAGAAGCAGGACUCCAUUGGAUAAAGACCUUAUUAAUACAGGGAUCUGUGAGUCUUCUGGCAAACAGUGUUUGCCUCUGGUUCAGCUCAUACAACAACUUCUCAGGGCAGUCUCCUUACAGGGAACUUAACGAGGCACAAAAGAAGGCUCAGGGGACAGGGAGGACUUCUGCUGGGAAAAGGCUCCUAGACCCGGUUCUGCCUCUGACUUGCUGGGGGUCCUCGAGAAAGUUGCUUCCCCUCUGUGGUCUCAGUUUCCUCAGGUAAGAAAUGAGGGGUUGGGCCAAAUGGUCUAAGGUUCAGGGAACCUCUAAGUCAGAGCUCAUAGCUGCUGAUCAAGAUGAGGGAGAGGCUCUCAGGGUCAGCCGAAUGCCUGAGAGGCAAGACAGGCCCAAAGGUGAGCACCCUGAGCACAUCAGGUGGGCUCGGAGCUGGUGCAUCAGCCCCACAUUCUGCAGAGCAGCCCUGGACUCGGGAGCCCGCUCACACCAGCCCGGUGGGACUUGAAAGAUGUGAGGGUCCAGCCUCUCCUACUGUUGCAGGGCUGGGGUCUGGGAGCUGCAGAUUCUGACCCCACAGCUACCUUAGACAUGCCAGACGGGCUGGGCAAGACACACCCUCUCUAUGAAAUGAGCAGACAGUCCAAAUAGAUACACUAGAGAAGGGCUGUGGGAAGGACCCAGUGCCACUGACUGCACUGGGUGCCUCCCACAGCCACUAAAGGCAGAGUAGCUUGUUAUAGAUUAGCCUCCCCACAAGAGCAGUUAGAAAAACUGGACAAAAAUGUGCCCCAAUCAAAAACAAUUAUUUGAAGGUAAUUGGAGAGCUCAGCCAGGAUUUGAGUGACCAGGCCUGGGAGGUGACCCUGACAGUCUGUAGUGCUUUCCCACACUUGGUGAUUGGUCAACAGUAGAGGGCUAAGAGGCUAAGAAACUUGAGUAUGAAGUGGUAGUGAACAGGCUGGAGAGCCUAGCUGAAUGUUUGGCACUCACAGGGCUCAAAUGACAUAAUGAGAAUUUGGAUCCCAGUAAGGAGAUGGGACCCUGGAAGGGCCACCCCUAGGAGAAGAAAUGAAUAAAAAAUAGACCAGCCGUCACAAAAACUAAAACCUGCUUUGAACCAGCUUAGUCCCAAACUGGAUGAAGGUGAUCUGCCCUUACUCCAAUUGUGUGCCAUAAAGUCAAAGUCAAUACUCUCUCUCUUGGCCGGGCGCGGUGGCUCAAGCCUGUAAUCCCAGCAUUUUGGGAGGCUGAGGCGGGCGGAUCACGAGGUCAGGAGAUGGAGACCGUCCUGGCUAACACGGUGAAACCCUGUCUCUACUAAAAAAUACAAAAAAAAAAAACUAGCCGGGCGUGGUGGCGGCAUCUGUGGCCCCAGCUACUCAGGAGGCUGAGGCAGGAGAAUGGCGUGAACCCGGGAGGCGGAGCUUGCAGUGAGCUGAGAUCCGGCCACUGCACUCCAGCCUGGGCAACAGAGCGAGACUCCGU
rnacentral:lncRNA from 10 species